rnacentral:rRNA from 1 species
GACGUAGGAGGCGAGCGUUGUCCGGAUUCAUUGGGCGUAAAGAGCGCGCAGGCGGCUUGGUAAGUCGGAUGUGAAAACCCGAGGCUCAACCUCGGGCGUGCAUCCGAAACUGCUCGGCUAGAGGUAGGUAGGGGAGAUCGGAAUUCCUGGUGUAGCGGUGAAAUGCGCAGAUAUCAGGAGGAACACCGGUGGCGAAGGCGCCACUCUGGGCCGGUACUGACGCUGAGGAGCGAAAGCGUGGGGAGCGAACAGG